AUCGCGUUGGUGAUCUAGGAAGACAGCCUGGGUGUCGGGCCAGCUCUUCUGGACUAGACUGCAGCAGGAAAAGAAUACGGUCUGUGGCUCCUCCUGUAAUUGCUCCAGAUGUGACCUGACGUGCUCUCUUGUGUCUGAUGACCACUCUCUGGGUUAACAUUUGCUCCCCGACCAGGGAUGGAACCCGCACCCCCUGCAUUGGAAGACGAAGUCUUAACCACUGGACUGCCAGGGAAGUCCCAUGAUGCC